ACGGGGUGCAGCAGGCGCGAAAACUCACCAAUUCACGAAAGUGUGAGUGGGCCAUCCCGAGUGCCAUCCGCUGAGGAUGGCUUUUCCUUAGUGUACAAAGCUGGGGGAAUAAGGAGAGGGCAAGUCUGGUGUCAGCCGCCGCGGUAAUACCAGCUCUCCGAGUGGUGGGGAUGUUUAUUGGGCCUAAAGCAUUCGUAGCCUGCUGGGCAAGUCCUCCGUUAAAUCCAACGACUCAAUCGUUGGGCCGCGGGGGAUACUGUUCGGCUAGGGGGCGGAAGAGGUCGACGGUAUUCUCGGGGUAGGGGUGAAAUCCUAUAAUCCCGGGAGGACCACCAGUGGCGAAGGCUGUCGGCUAGAAUGCGCCCGACGGUGAGGGAUGAAAGCUGGGGGAGCGAACCGGAUUAGAUACCCGGGUAGUCCCAGCCGUAAACGAUGCAAGCUAGGUGUUGGCGCGGCUACGUGCCGCUCCAGUGCCGCAGGGAAGCCGUUAAGCCUGCCGCCUGGGAAGUACGGCCGCAAGGCUGAAACUUAAAGGAAUUGGCGGGGGAGCACCACAAGGGGUGAAGCUUGCGGUUUAAUUGGAGUCAACGCCGGAAAUCUCACCGGGGGCGACAGCAGGUUGAAGGUCAGAUUGAAGGUCUUACCAGACAAGCUGAGAGGAGGUGCAUGGCCGUCGCCAGUUCGUGCCGUGAGGUGUCCUGUUAAGUCAGGCAACGAUCGAGACCCGCAUCCC
rnacentral:rRNA from 1 species